GACGAACGCUGGCGGCGUGCUUAACACAUGCAAGUCGAACGGAAAGGCCUGCUUUCCCCUGUGGAUUGCGGGUACUCGAGUGGCGAACGGGUGAGUAACACGUGAGUGAUCUGCCCCCAACUUGGGUAUAAGCCUGGGAAACUGGGUCUAAUUCCCGAUAGGACUGCAGGGUGGUGCCUGUGGUGGAAAACGAUUUUCUAGUGGUUGGGGAUGAGCUCGCGGCCUAUCAGCUUGUUGGUGGGGUAAUGGCCUACCAAGGCGGCGACGGGUAGCCGGCCUGAGAGGGUGGACGGCAACAUUGGGACUGAGAUACGGCCCAGACUCCUACGGGAGGCAGCAGUGGGGAAUAUGGCACAAUGGGCGGAAGCCUGAUGCAGCGACGCCGCGUGGGGGAUGACGGCCUUCGGGUUGUAAACUACUUUCGACAGCGAGGAAGCCACCUGGUUGGAAGGGUGGUGACGGUAGUGGUAGAAGAAGCACCGGCUAACUACGUG
rnacentral:rRNA from 1 species